ACCAGACUCCUACGGGAGGCAGCAGUGGGGGAUAUUGCACAAUGGGGGGAACCCUGAUGCAGCGACGCCGCGUGGGUGAAGAAGUAUUUCGGUAUGUAAAGCCCUAUCGGCAGGGAAGAAAUUGGACGGUACCUGACUAAGAAGCCCCGGCUAACUACGUGCCAGCAGCCGCGGUAAUACGUAGGGGGCAAGCGUUAUCCGGAUUUACUGGGUGUAAAGGGAGCGUAGACGGCAUGGCAAGUCAGAUGUGAAAGCCCGGGGCUCAACCCCGGGACUGCAUUUGAAACUGUCAGGCUGGAGUGCAGGAGAGGUAAGCGGAAUUCCUAGUGUAGCGGUGAAAUGCGUAGAUAUUAGGAGGAACACCAGUGGCGAAGGCGGCUUACUGGACUGUAACUGACGUUGAGGCUCGAAAGCGUGGGGAGCAAACAGGAUUAGAUACCCCCGUA
rnacentral:rRNA from 1 species